rnacentral:rRNA from 1 species
CCUACGGGUGGCUGCAGUAGGGAAUCUUCCGCAAUGGACGAAAGUCUGACGGAGCAACGCCGCGUGAGCGAAGAAGGUCUUCGGAUCGUAAAGCUCUGUUGUCGGGGAAGAACAAGUACGGUAGGAAAUGGCCGUACCUUGACGGUACCCGACGAGAAAGCCACGGCUAACUACGUGCCAGCAGCCGCGGUAAUACGUAGGUGGCAAGCGUUGUCCGGAAUUAUUGGGCGUAAAGCGCGCGCAGGCGGUCCUUUAAGUCUGAUGUGAAAUCUUGCGGCUAAACCGCAAGCGGUCAUUGGAAACUGGGGGACUUAAGUGAGAAAAAGAAAGUCGAAAUCCGACGGUUUGCGAUGAAUGUAUAAGACAGGUGGGGAAACCCAAGUGGGCGAGCCGGUGUCGUGGUGUUUAACAACCGGUGUGGCGCGAAGUCAUGGGAGCAAACAGGAUUAGAUACCCUGGUAGUC